rnacentral:rRNA from 1 species
GAUGAACGCUGGCGGCGUGCCUAAUACAUGCAAGUCGAGCGAACGGACGAGAAGCUUGCUUCUCUGAUGUUAGCGGCGGACGGGUGAGUAACACGUGGAUAACCUACCUAUAAGACUGGGAUAACUUCGGGAAACCGUAGCUAACACCGGAUAAUCUUUUGCACCGCAUGGUUCAAAAGUGAAAGACGGUCUUGCUGUCACUUAUCUAUGCAUCCGCGCUGCAUUAGCUAGUUGGUAAGGUAACGGAUUACCACGGCACCGAUGCAUAGCCGACCUGAGAGGGUGAGCGGCCACACUGGAACUUAGACACGGUCCAGACUCCGACGGGAGGGAGCAGUAGGGAAUCUUCCGCAAUGGGCGAAAGCCUGACGGAACAACGCCGCGUGAGUGAUGAAGGUCUUCGGACCGUAAAACUCUGUUAUUAGGGAAGAACAGAUGUGUAAGUAACUGUGCACAUCUUGACGGUACCUAAUCAGAAAGCCACGGCUAACUACGUG